rnacentral:rRNA from 1 species
GUGGGGAAUUUUGCGCAAUGGGGGAAACCCUGACGCAGCGACGCCGCGUGGAGGAUGAAGGCCUUCGGGUUGUAAACUUCUUUUACCGGGGAAAAUAAUGAUGGUACCCGGGGAAUAAGCCACGGCUAACUCUGUGCCAGCAGCCGCGGUAAGACAGAGGUGGCAAGCGUUGUUCGGAAUCACUGGGCUUAAAGGGCGCGUAGGCGGUAGUGCAAGUCUGAUGUGGAAUCCUAUGGCUUAACCAUAGAACUGCCUUGGAAACUGCAUAACUUGAGUCAGUAAGGGGAGGGCAGAAUUCCCGGUGUAGCAGUGAAAUGCGUAGAUAUCGGGAGGAAGGCCGGUGGCGAAGGCGGCCCUCUGGUGCUUGACUGACGCUGAGGCGCUAAAGCGUGGGUAGCAAACAGGAUUAGAAACCCUUGUAGUCC